rnacentral:rRNA from 1 species
UUGAGUGGUUAUGGCGGAGGGGGUACACCCGAUCCCAUUCCGAACUCGGUAGUUAAGUUCUCCAGCGCCGAUGGUACUGCGGCGUCAGGCCGUGGGAGAGUAGGACGCCGCUCAAC